GAUCUUUUAGUAUAUUUAGUAUUUUUGACUUCCAAUCAAAGGGAAAAAAGAUUA
rnacentral:tRNA from 1 species